UAUGAAAGGGUUAACGAGGAAGAUGCUGUGUCUAAAAACUUAGUUUAAACUAACUUAAAGGUGAAGAGGCCUUUAUAAGAAAGAAGGACGACAAGACCCUAUGAAGCUUUAUCUUAUUAGGGAUUUGAAAGAUCCUUAUACGAUUUUGAUGGGAGAUCAGUAAAAAUAAGUCUUUUACCAUUAUUUUUAUCUUACAAGUGUUUCCUAAUUUUAUAUGUGUGACUAGCUACUCUAGGGAUAACAGCGCAAUUUCUCCCGAAAGAUGGUAUUGGAGGGGAAGAUUGCGACCUCGAUGUUGGC
rnacentral:rRNA from 1 species